rnacentral:rRNA from 1 species
CAGUCGCCACGGGAAUACGAAGGGUGCAAGCGUUAAUCGGAAUUACUGGGCGUAAAGCGUGCGUAGGCGGUUUGUUAAGUCUGUUGUGAAAUCCCCGGGCUCAACCUGGGAAUGGCAAUGGAUACUGGCUCGCUAGAGUGUGUCAGAGGAUGGUGGAAUUCCCGGUGUAGCGGUGAAAUGCGUAGAGAUCGGGAGGAACAUCAGUGGCGAAGGCGGCCAUCUGGGACAACACUGACGCUGAGGCACGAAAGCGUGGGGAGCAAACAGGAUUAGAUACCCGCGUAGUCCCUGUCUCUUAUAC